rnacentral:rRNA from 1 species
AUUGAACGCUGGCGGCAGGCCUAACACAUGCAAGUCGAGCGAGCGGCGGACGGGUGAGUAAUGUCUGGGAAACUGCCUGAUGGAGGGGGAUAACUAAUGGAAACGGUAGCGAAUACCGCAUACCAUCUGAUGUGCCCAGAUGGGAUUAUCUAGUAGGGUGGGUCACGGCGCACCUAGGCGACGAUCCCUCGCUGGUAUGAGAGUCUGACCAGCCACACUGGAACUGAGACACGGUCCAGACUCCUACGGGAGGCAGCAGUGGGGAAUAUUGCACAAUGGGCGCAAGCCUGAUGCAGCCAUGCCGCGUGUGUGAAGAAGGCCUUCGGGUUGUAAAGCACUUUCAGCGGGGAGGCGUUACCCGCAGAAGAAGCACCGGCUAACUCCGUGCCAGCAGCCGCGGUAAGGC